rnacentral:rRNA from 1 species
GCACGAAGACGGUUUUCGGAUUGUAAAGUGCUUUCAGCAGGGAAGAAGGAAGUGACGGUACCUGCAGAAGAAGCGACGGCUAAAUACGUGCCAGCAGCCGCGGUAAUACGUAUGUCGCGAGCGUCAUCCGGAAUUAUGGGGCAUAAAGGGCAUCUAGGCGGCCUUUCAAGUCAGGGGUGAAAACCUGCGGCUCAACCGCAGGCCUGCCUUUGAAACUGAUAGGCUGGAGUACCGGAGAGGUGGACGGAACUGCACGAGUAGAGGUGAAAUUCGUAGAUAUGUGCAGGAAUGCCGAUGAUGAAGAUAGUUCACUGGACGGUAACUGACGCUGAAGUGCGAAAGCCGGGGGAGCGAACAGG